rnacentral:tRNA from 1 species
AAUAAAGUAAGCUAAUUAUAAGCUAGUGGGUUCAUACCCCAAAAAUGAACUAUUCCUUUAUUA